rnacentral:rRNA from 1 species
AUACGGAGGGUGCAAGCGUUAAUCGGAAUUACUGGGCGUAAAGCGCGCGUAGGCGGUUAUUUAAGUCAGAUGUGAAAUCCCUGGGCUCAACCUAGGAACUGCAUCUGAUACUGGGUAACUAGAGUUUUGGAGAGGUAAGUGGAAUUUCCGGUGUAGCGGUGAAAUGCAUAGAGAUCGGAAGGAACACUAGUGGCGAAGGCGACUUACUGGCCAAAAACUGACGCUGAGGUGCGAAAGCGUGGGUAGCAAACAGGAUUAGAAACCCUAGUAGUCC